CUCUCGCUCUCUCUCUCUCUCUCUCUCUCUCUCUCUCUCUCUCUCUCUCUCUCUCUCGCACGAACACCUAUCAUCUUCUAUUGCGUCGUCCUCCCAAGUAAUCAUCACAAUCUCCUUCCCUCCGUUCGUCAUUUUCGCAAAAAAUAAUAUUCAAAUGACCACAACAAGGGCAAUUUUGAAAAAAAUUAUACUUUUAUGUCAGGAUUAUUAAAUUUUAUAAACUGAACCAAACGUAUUAAUGCUAUAAACACUGUAAUCUAGUAUUACAUUACUGUAUUAAACCAAACGCGCUAAUGCAGCAUCAGUAGUAAUCUCACGCCGAAAUCCAAGAUACCUGGAUAUGUCAGGAUUAUUAAAUUUUAUAAACUGAACCAAACGUAUUAAUGCUAUAAACACUGUAAUCUAGUAUUACAUUACUGUAUUAAACCAAACGCGCUAAUGCAGCAUCAGUAGUAAUCUCACGCCGAAAUCCAAGAUACCUGGAUAUGUUAAGAUACUUUGUAAUAUUACAUAACUCGAACCAAACGGGCCCUAAAGAAUACUUUUAAAAACUGCUAUCAAACUAUAUAAACGUACUGAACUACAAAUAUUCAAAAUAUUUAGUCACUAACUAUGCUCUAGGGGACAUUUUAAAAUAGCCAUAAUAACAUACAAAUUUACUGGUAUUGAAUGCGAUCUAACGCUAUUGGGCCAAAAGAGACCGGAGUCGAUGUACUUUUUGUCUUUCUGUAGAACUGUAAAAAUUAUCACUUAACUAGUACGAUCGACAUCACAUUAUCACUUAUGGAGAAAAAAUGAAAUAUUUUUGCAUUAUAACUUUUCAAAAUAGCAUUUAAUUCGACUAUCAAACUAUAUAAACGUACUGAAUUAUAAAUAUUCAAACUAUGUAGUUAUUAACUAUAAUUUAGGGGACAUUUUAAAAUAGCCAUAAUAAUGUCCAAUUUAAUUACUAAGUGCCGGUAUUGAAUGCGAUCUAACGCUAUUGGGUCAAAAGAGACCGGAGUCCAUGUACUUUUUGUUUUUUCUGUAGAACUGUAAAAAUUAUCACUUAACUUGUAGGAUCGACACCACAUUAUCACUUACGGAGAAAAAAGAGAAUAUAUUUGCAGGAAAUAUUUUUGUAUUGCAACUUCUCACAUCCUCAAUCUCAAAAGAGAAAAGUAACAUCCUAAUAAUUCCAUAUCGGAUAAAGAAAUAAGAGAUCACGAAUCCUAAUAAUAAUAACUGGACUUAAAUAUUUAUUGCCGGUUGUUUCGUCUCAGUAAGUUAAUAUUGCUAAAAGGUCGGAUCUUUAAAUUUGGUAUUAGAGACAGUUCACGAGCCAAAAGUGUGAGAUAGGUUUCACAUCACUUGUCCCAUAUCGGAUGAAAAUAUAAGAGAUUUAAUUACUUGUCUCCUAUCGGAUGAAAAUAUAAGAUAUUAUGGAGCUUAAUAAUAAUAAUAAUAAUUGGGAUUAAAUAUUUUGGAUAAAUGAUUUGGACCCAACGAUUAUUAUUAACAGCGGUCUAAUCGUUAAGAAACCUACUGCAAAAUUUUAGAUAAAAGUCCAUCAAAAAAUGUUGCCUGAUGAGCUAUUAAUGCAUAACCAUACACAACUUUUAAUUUAUUUUAUUUCAUUUUAUUUGCAGAGGAAAGAUACACAAUUGAAAAAUAUCAUCCAUAUAACUAUUUAUAAAUGUGUAAAAUUUAUACCUCAGCUAUUUUAGGGUUCAAAAAACUCUUUAAUUAGAUUUUUAGAUUUAAAAAAAAAUAAUAAUAAGACUAGUGCGGAAAUAAUUGCCUUUGGUUGAAUUUGGUCGGGGCUACAAGAUAAAAUUGAAUCAAAAUUGAUCUAUUUUAAUUUCAAAAAAAAUCAAAACCAAAACCACACCAAUGUUGUGGAAAAUCAAAUCGAGCCAAAUCACAAUUUUUUUUUUUUUGUUUCGAUUUGAUUUGUCGGUUAGAACAUUUAUAUUUUAAAAUUAAUUUAGUUUGUACAACCUAUCGGUUAAUUAUUUUUUUAUUUGAUUUAUCCAAUCGAUUUUUGGGAUUAACAUGGUUUAUCAAGUAGUAGCUUUGUGAUAAAUAAUUANUACUAAUAUUUAAAAUCUAACUGUUUAUUUUUUGAGGAUAUGAUUGACUUUUAAAUAUUAGUAACUAAUCAAAUACCAAAUUAAUAGUUUCCAAUACUUUGUUUCCUUAUUUAAUUUAGUUACUUACCAAAUUAGAUAGUAGCUAAUUUUACAAGUAACUAACCCCAAAAUUAAAAUUUAACUUGAAUUUUAAAUUUAUAUUUAUUAUAGUAUAAAUUAAAUUUUAAAUGAGUAACAAAUUUUAAAUUCAAAUUGUUAAUUCAAUAUUAAAGUAAUAUAAAGUUCAAAAAUAUUAAUCUAUUUUAAAUUCGAGUUUAAAUUACAUUGUACUUAUAAACCCAACUUUUAUUUUUUAUUUAAAUAAAAAGUUUCUAUUUCUGAAAAUAAAAUUUAAAUUAUUAAUUCAAUAUUGAGACAGCAUUAAAGCUCAAAAAUAUUAAUCUAAUUUAAAUUUUAAAUUUGGAUCUAAUUUGAAUCUCGAUGGCUCUAUUAGCUCUAUUAUUUUGACUUUUUAGAUUUGAAUUAUUCCUGUUAUAUUAGUUAAAUGUUAUUUAAUUUAAUAACUCCAUUGAUUGUCAGUUGUUCUAAUCCAUUUUUCUUAAAAUUAUUAAAUUUGAUAAAAAAAUAUAUAUAAAUUCAAUAAAAUCUCCUUUUUAACAGUACUCCUUUGUUUUAAAAAUUAAAAGUAAGGGCUCUUUCCAAACGAAUUUGAAAGUUGAGGGUGCUCUUUCUUAAUUCCUUAUAGUUGAAGGGGUCAUUGGAAAAUAGUAAUGCUUGACUCAAUCUCAUAAAUGGCAAAAGUCCAAAAUUACCCUCACGAAUAUAGCAUGAAGUGAAUUUUUUAAUGACCAAAAAACCCUUAAUAGAGGUAUCGGUUAACCGGUACCGGAGAACAAAUAGCCGGUCACUGGCUUUGCCUCACUGAAUCAUAACCGUUCACUGUAGUAAAUUAAUGGACAGGAUUAAAGUAGUGUAUAGGAAAUGGCUCUAUAAAUAUAAAAAAACUAUGUUAUACUUUUAUACAAAUGAACAUAAAUAAAUAUAAAACAAUAUACGCUUUUGGUUUCUUGGUUUGAGUUGGUUUUUUUUUUUUCAUCAAUACAAAACCAAAAUCAAAACCAAAAUAAAACUUCUGAUUUGAGAAGUUCUUGAAUCAAAACCAAACUAUUUACAGCUGAAUCUAAAACAAAUCAAAUCAAAAAUAUCAUUUCGAUCGUAGACUUAGCAUUUCUCUAACCGUACAACAUACUUAUCUAUUCUUUACAUGCACUAUAAGUUCAAUUAACAAUAAUUGGUUCUUAUCGACCGCCUCUAGAGCAAGUGGCAAAGGGAUUGGUGGUUGGUACCCGAGACCCAAGUUCGAAUCCUAAUUGAUUCAUAUUUUCAGCUAAGUUUAUUUCUAAAUGAAAUAAACGAAGCGGGUAGCGUGUACCUACCUAUCUCUCAAAAAAAAAUAAUGGGUCUCGGAUACCAACUACCAAGCCCUUUGCCACUUGGUUCUUUAGUUUUUAAUACAAUUUUAGAGAUGCAGAUGGAUCUAAGUCGACGGAUUUUCUUUCCCUAUCUGUUUUCGAAUGAGUCGGUAAGCGAGAGUGAAAAAUAAAGAAAAAUAUAUAUAAUUUGCUUCGAAUCUAUCCAAAUAUGCUAAAAAAAUGAAGCAAAAUGUUGGCUUAAAAAAAUCAGCAUAAUAUUAUGUAAUCAGAGAUCAGGGUGGGCCGAGUAAGGAUGUCAAUGGGUAUGGAUACCCGAAAUAUUAUCAGAAUUCGAACCCGAAUAGAACGGGUUUAUUUGAGCUAAACAGAUAUGAUUUGGUUAUGGGUAUAGAAAAUAAAAACCCGAAUAUGGAUACGAGUAUGGAUUUUAUAUUUACCCGACCCGACCCGAACCCGAAUCCGAACCCGAACCCGAAUCUGAACCCGAAUAUGAAUAAAUUAUAUAUAUGUAAACUUUAUACAAUAUAUAAAAUAUUUAAUAAUUUUUAUCCAUUAGAUAUUCAUCCAACGGUAUACAAUAGACACUUUAUCUUUCAAAAUCCAGAUAUUGAUAUUGUAUGGCAUGUUUAAUGUUGUAUUUGAUUGUAUUUUGAAAAUUUUAAUUUUACUAUAAUAUAUUUUAAAAUAUGGUAAAGAGAAACCAUUAUUUCGGGUUCGGAUUUUUGGGUUCGGUUUUGGGUUUCGAAUUUUUGGUCAAGAUCGGAUAUGGAUAUGGAUUUUUAAAACCCGCCGGGUUUGGACCCGGGUUCGUGUUUCAAUUUGGUUUUCGGGUUCGGGUUUGGGUUUUUGAAAACUCGACCCGUUGACAUCCCUAAGGCCGAGUCACAUUCGAAAUGACAGAAGGUCGGGGUUGAGCCGAGAUAUGUUCAAAGUGAUGAAAGCCUAGAUGGAACGAGUCACAAUCAAAACUCAUGGGCACUAUAACUUUACGCUUAAGUGAAAUAGUUGCAUUCUUUUAAUAGCUUAAAUUCUUGGGAUUAAUGGUUAGCCCCAGGAAUCCGACAAGUGGUAUCAAAAAAUAAAGGUCACGAGUUCAAUUUUUGCAUGCUGUGAAUUUGAUUUUUACGUGCUGUGAAUUUGUGGAAAUUAUUAGCUUAGCUUAAAGGAGUCGGCAUCCUAUUCUAUUGCAUUUCGGAAUGGGAAGAGCCCUUUUUUCUCUUGGUACACACAAAUUUGCCCACAAUUUUUCAAAAAUCAGCUCUUGUCACGACCCGCUUUGAAAUGUAGCAGUAAUUAGGGACAAAAAUAGAAAAAUUACAACUUGUUCUGAUCACUGGAUCUUCUUUUUUUUUUUCUUUUUUUUUUUUUAACAUCCUUUGAUACAACAUGUUGUAGGGUUUUCCAACUAAAUAGAUCUACGAAUAGGUCCACUCCAAUUUUAAAUGGCACAUGUGCCUCAUAAAUCUAUUUAAUCAUAAAAUUAGCUAGUUGGACGAUAAUAUCAUCUUUAUGAUCUAUCACUAUAAGCCUAUCAACUAUCUUUAGUGGCCGUUCGGUUUAGGGAUGUCAAUGAGUAUGGAUAUCCGAAAUUUUAUCCAAACCCGAACCCGAAUGAAACGGAUAUAUCCGAUGGGUAUGGAUAUGGAUUUGGAUAUGGAUAUAAAAAAUAAAAACCUGACGGAUAUGGAUUCAGAGAUGGAUUUUGAUUGUACCCGAUCCGAACCCGAACCCGAAUUUAUUUUGUAUUAUAUAUAAUAUAUAUGUAAAAAUUUGAUGUUAUAUUUGAAUUUGUAUUUUAAAAAUUUAAAUUUAAUAUAAUAUAUUUUGAAAUAUUGAAAAAAAAAUAAUUGUUUCAGGUUCAAAUUUUCGGGUUCGGGUUUGGGUUCGGGUUUCGGAUUUUUGGUCGGGUUCGGAUUUGGAUAUGGAUUUUUAAAAUCCGUCGGGUUCGGGUUCGGGUUCGGGUCUCGGGUUUGGAGUCGGGUUUGGGUUCGGGUUUUUAAAAAUCCGCUCCGAAUCCGAUCCGUUGACAUCUCUAGUUCGGUUCAUGCUAUAUAACAGCACUAGUUAUUUCAGCAUAAUUAGAUUUCAGGCUGUUUGGUUCGUGCUAUAUGAUAGUACUAGUUAUUUCAGCAUAAUUAGAUAUUUGAAAUCUGUGAAGCAGAUUAAUACAAAUGUUGAAUAACUAUAUUUGGUUUAGUGCAGUAAUAUAAUGUCGGAUUGUCAUAAAAUUACUCUGUUUCGUUCAUCUUAUAUGUAUUAGUAAUCUUGACUGUAAAGUUUAUAUAAUUCCAAAAAAAAUCCUUACAUACAUAUUUAUUUGAAAUUCAAAUAUAUAAUUUUGAAAUAAAUUUAAAUUCAAAUUUUAAAUUUAAAUUAAAUAUUGGUUCAAAUUUUCAAUUGAAAUCAUGAUUUUAAGUCUAAAUUUUAAAAUAAAAUUUUAUUUUUGAGUUCAAAUUUCAAAGUCAAAUUUAAGAAUUGAACUUAAAUUUUAAAUUUAAGUUCAGAUUUUAAAUUUAAAUUUGAAAAUCAAACUUAGAUUUUUUUAAUUUGAAGUUCAAAUUUAAAUUUUGAUUUUAAAUUCAAACUUCAUAUUCAAAGUCUGAUUUUGGUUUCAAAUUUAAAUAUAAAUUUAGUUUUUGAAUUCAAAUUUUGAUUUCAAAUUCAAAUUUAAAUUUUGAAUAGUCAAAAUUUUAAAGUAAAUUUCAUUCAAGUUUUAAAUUUAGAUUUAGAAUUUAAACUCAGACUUCAGUUUGAGUUCAGAUUUUAAUCCAACUCUUAGUUUCAAAUUUAGAUUUGGAGUUCAAAUUUUUAAUGUGAAUCAGAAUUUUAAUUCAAAUUUAGAAUUUGAACUCAUAUUUCAAGUUAAAUUAAAAUAAAAUUUACAUUCAAAUUCAAAUUCAUAUUUGAAUACAAAAUUCAAAUUUAAAUUUAAAUUUCAAAUUCAAACUUAAGUAAUUCAACUAAUGUGAAAUUUUGAACUUUAUUUCAAAUUUAAAUUUGAGGCAAGUAGCGGUGGAGAAGGAUAACUUUUAAAUUUUGCAUAAGUUGCAGCAUAACAUGUAAUCAGUAAUGCAAGAUACCCAUCUUUUUAUUGUUUUACUAGUAAUAUUUUACGGUACCUUACAAACUAAUAUACAUGACAUUGUUUAAUUGGUGGAAAUGUGCGAACCAUGAAAUGGUUUUUUGAAAGUAUGGUAGAUAAUUUUAAUAUUGAAAUCCAUCAAUUGAGUUGUAUGGUUUGUAAAAUAUUAUAAAUUUGCUUGUAAACAAAGUAUUUUUCAAUUUUUAAAGAUCCCUGUAGGAUUCUCUGUAAUAUAAUAUAAACUUGGCCUUCUUUUGCACCAUGUGUUGUUUUCUUCUUCUUUUUUUUUGAUAAAAAUUUUCUGCGAUAGUGUACGCUCAGAGAUCCAACAGAUUGCUUGUAAUCUAUACAUUACUUCGGAUUUAUUUGUUGAGAAACUAUGAAAACUUAGUAACAACUUUUUUUUCUUUUAAACUAAAUUUUGAAUUGGUAUUUACCAAGAAUAAGAUUUUGUUUUGUUUUUUUUUUUAUUUUUUUAUUUGUUUGUUUGGUUGUUUACUUGUUUUUGGUUGUUGUUGUUGGUGUUUGUGCUGGAACUUGGAGUGGGUCUCCCAAGAUGAAGCAAAAAAGUUUUUAUUUUUGUUUAUUUAUUUAUUUUAUGGUUUCUGAGGACUAUGAAAAAGCCUAUGGCUAUAUGCUAUGGCUAUAUGAAUGCAUUACACUUGGCUUUUGUGAAUGGCCUUAUCUAUGUAAAAGCUCACACAUUGUCCAAGGUGAUCAUCCCAUGUAUAUGCAUUUGAUUGCUUUAAUUUCCCUUUCAUUUUUGCUUUUUGUAAAAGAGUGCUGCUAUAAGAUUACCCUACAAUAUUAUUAAUAAUAUGAUAAUAUAUUAUUAUAUUUAUAAUAAUAAUAUUGUAAAUAAUUCAUCAUUCAUAUAAAUUGAAAAAAAAAAAAAACAACAACAAGAUUAAACGAAGCCUAAGAUUUUAUAUAUUAUAUAUAUCUCAAAAUUGAUAACUUGAAUAGCUGACGUGGUGAUAUAUUUGUAAGUUUACCAAUUUAAAAGAAUGAAUUUAUAUUCAAUAAAAUUUUUAUAGAAAAUUUCGUUCACUAUUUAAUGAAAGAUCAAUAUCUUUGAUCUGAAAUUUAAAUCUUUUAUUAUUAUUUUUUAAAAUUUUUAUUUUUAGCCUUUUAUGUUGAAACUAUUCGGUUUAAGGGUAAAUAAUAUAAACAAAUUAUAAAAAUUGGUUUCAAUAUAGUUUUAGUAGUGUAGCUCAUAUUUAAUUGAGUCAAUCAUCGAUUCGAAUAUCUCAUCAUCGAAAACAACAUAAUAGCAAUGAGGCCUCCGUACUACUGAUAGUAUUCUAGCCUAAUUCAAAUAUAUACAAAGAGAGAGAGAAAGAGAGAGUUGUAGAGAAUGCUUAUAAUAAUACCAACUUAUUAAUGCUUUUUAGUUUUUGGCCCUUGGAUUAAGGGGUCGUUGGAUUACCAUGAUAGUGGUCCAGUUAAGUUUAGAAGUAGUGAAAUAAUAUAAUUUAAGAAAUAUAAAUGACAAAAGAGUAUGUACACAGUAGUUACGGAUUUUUGAUAUCACAACAGCUUCAUGUGUGAGUUGCUACUUUCCAUGAAAUUUGAUUUCUAGAUAUUUUCAAUAUUCUGGAUCAAGCUUAAUGAUGUCGAUCAUCGAUUCGAAAACUUCAUCAUCGAAAAUAAAUUUGUAACAACAGAGCGCAUUUACGACUAAUAGUAUUCAAGCUCAACUCUCUUCUCUCCUUCUCUCUCUCUAUAUAUAUAUAGAAAGAGAGAGAGUAGGGCUACUAUACUCUUAUGAGUAUAGAGCUCUUCGUGUUCAUAAGUUGUUUUCGAUAAUUGAACUUCCGAAUCGACGAUCCACUUCGUUAAAUGUGUUCUAAAGUAUUUGAAACUUUCAGAAAAUAAAUUUCGUAAUUUUUUUUGAAAUCAUAAUAAAAUCCAUUAAGUGGGCAUAAAAUGAACAGUCAAAAUCGAAUAACAUCCUAAAAAUCGAUAAUUGGAUCCUUCAAUUUAAGAUCAGAGUUAUUGAUCUUUAUUUAGAUAGUGAAUAGAAUUUUCGAUAAAAAAUUUAACUAAUUCUGAGUCUUUUACACCGUUAAACUAGCAAGUAUUCCAUACCAACUGUUAAAAAUUAUCAAUUUUGAGAUUUUUUAAUCAAAAGGUAAAUGAUGUCAAAAAUUAUAAAAUUUAAUUUUUUAAAAGUUUUAAAUGCUCUAAAUAACGUUUAACGGUAUGGAUCGUCAAUUUGGAAGUUUUAUUAUUAAAAACAACUUAUGAGUAAGAAGGCGAUCGUACUCAUAAGAGUAUAGUAGCCGGACUCUCUCUCUCUCUCUUUCACUUUCUCUCUUUAUAUAUAUAUAUAUAUAUAUAUANAGGUACUAAAAUAAAAAAGUGUGAAACCACGGGGUUUUUUUGAAGUUUUCCCUAAUAAUAAUAAUGAUUCAGGGGUAAAAAUGUAAUUACACUUCAGUUAGCCGGAAUCGUAUUCCUACGUUCUCCACGCAGAGGUUAACAAGGAAACCUCCCCAACAGGUCACGUAUCAAAGCACAACUUAGCCUCUUAAAAAGGAAGAAACUAUUCACUGCACCGGGUGUAUAAGCACAUCUCAUACGCCACACCUAAUAAAUUUUAUGAGGAAAAUGUGUUUUAUGUAUAAAAAAAUUUAUAAAUUUUAGACACGAAUACUUCCUAAAUUGGAUAAUGUCCCAUUAUAAACUUAGCUUUAUAAAUAUUAUAUGGUAAAUUAUAUAACAUCUAUCAAAUUAAAUUUUAAUUUAAGGUGUAAAUUAUUAAAAUCUAUGUAUUAUGACGCGGUUACAUGUCGCGCAUGUCCGUGUCGGACACAUCUUUGUUCGUGCUAGACUCGUAUUUGACGCAAACCCACCAUGGAUGUGCGUUCAUGGCGCAUUCCUAUGAAAUUUUUUUAUUUCACUUUUUUUAUGCAUAUAUAUAUAUAUAUAUAUAUAUAUAUAUAUAUAUAUAUAUUAGGGCUAUUAUACUCUUAUGAGUAUACACCUUUUUGUACUUAUAAGUUUUUGACAAUUGGAUGAAGAGAUGUGCAGUUAGGAUGAUAGAGGUCCCCGAUUAGAAUGAUAGUGGUCCCCUAGAGUUAAGUGGGUGGUAAGUUGAAUAGUAUGAUCUAAUGGGUGAAAAUGGUCAAAGGGAUAGAUUUAACAGUCGAAAAUUUAUGAGUGCAUAGAGAUCUAUGCUUAUAAGAAUAUAUAGUCAAACUCUCUCUCCCUCUCUCUCUCUAUAUAUAUAUAUAUACAUAUAUUAGGAGUAGGACUAUUGUGCUAUUAGGAGUAUAGUAGUCCUUACGCUCCUACCUUUCUAACCAUCUAUCAAUUUCGAUGGAUGGUUAGGAUGAGAGAGAGAAAAAAAAUUCGGGUGCAGUUGAGUGUCUUAUUUUUUCUCAUCUUUGAAUUUGUAUCCAUUUUUUCUUCUCUCUCUCAUCUUAACCACCAAUCAAAAUUGAUGUAUGAUUAGAAAGUUAAGAGCACAAGAAUUACCCGUGAUCCUAAUAGCACAAUAGCCCUACUCUAUAUAUUAGUUAUGGCAUUGCAUUUAGCUUCAAGCAUGAGUAGCUGCACCACAUUCUCUCUCUCUCUCUCUCUCUCCCUCUCUAUUUUUGUUCAAAUUCCAUGUUCCCUCUUUUUGUUUGUAGCUAAACACAUCCAACUACGCAAAAUUCUUCAGUAGAUCCAAAUGAAGAGUACCUGCCAAAUUAUUUGAUAUAUACUAAAGCAGGACAUAUGGAUUAUCUAAAAAGAUCACUUUUUCCUUUUAUUUUUCUUUCUCUUUGUACAGGAGAUUCUACACUGAAUCUCUGGGAUCAUUCCACAUGGGGAACAACUAUUCAUAUUUAGUGGGUAACCCAACAAUGCCAUUUUGAAUCAUAAAUUAAAAGGGAGAGAGAAAAAAAUUCCAAAAAAAAGAAAAAUCCAACAGUACCAUCCAAUUUCAGAGUUCAACAGCUUUGCUGUGCUGUGGCCUCUGGGGUGAUACAGAACCUUCAUUUAAAAAAAGUGAAGCUACCUGGUGCUCAUUACAUGGUUCCAACUACUUAGAUUUAUCACAUAUAAUUUUUUAUUUAUUUUUUUUUAGAAAAAAAAUAGCGUGUUAUUUACUUUAUCCAAUAAGGUAUUGUUUGGUUUGAGCAUAAGCAAAAAAUGAUUAUUCCAGAGAUAGAUAUAAAUUGAGGUAUAAGCGGGGAUUAGAUCAAUUUUACGUUUGGAUGAAAAUUGGGCUAUUCCUGAGAAUAAAAAAAAUAGCGUUUGGUUAGUUAAGAUGGAAUAAGAAAGAUAGUGGGUUUUAUAAAUAAAAAAUAAUCAUAUUAUCCUCUUAUUAUAUUUGAAUUUAAAUUUUUAAAUUUUUAAAUAUAUAUUUUUAAAUUUAAAAUUUUAACUUUGAAAUUUCAAAUUUUGAAAUUUAAAAUCUCAAAUUUUAAAUUCAAAAUUUUAAUUUAAAUUUCAAACUUUAAAUUUAAGAUCAAAUUUAAAUUUGAAAAUAUAAAAUAUAAAAUUUAAUUUCAAAAUUAAAAUACAAAAUUUAAAUUUAAAAUUAAAUUUAAAAUUAUAAACUUUAUUUUGAGAUUAUAAAUUAUAAAUUUUAAAUUUAAUUUUAAUUUUUAAAUUUUUAAAAUAAGAAUAGGGUGGAACAAUAUAAUACAAUAAACAUUUAUUAUACAAUCAUUUAUAAAUUUUUUUAAAAUUCUACUUAAACUUAAAUUUAAUAAAAAGAAUUUAUUAUAAUAUUUAAAUAUAAUUUAUUAUAAAUUUUAUUUUAAUAUUUAAAUAUUAAUAAUAUGUAUUAAUAUAGUACAAUUAAUAAUUUUAUAAUAAAAAUAAUGUAUUUUAAUAUUUAACAUAUUAUAUUUAUAUAAUUUAGUUUUAAUUCAAUUUAUAAUUUUAAUUAAGUUUGAAAUUAAGCAUUGAAAUAGUGCUAUUCCAUCAAAAUGGUGGAAUAGCAAAUCCCUUGCUAUUCCAGGAUAACCGGGAAUAGCAAGGUUUGACCGGAAUAAAAUAUUCCGGCCAAAUUUCACCCCGUUUGGCGGAAUAGCGGAGAUAACUUUCGUUAUCCCCGCUUAUUUUCCCAAUCAAACGGGGCCUAAGAGUAUAAACUAGGCUACAAUAUUGAGACAACGGGGAUAAGAAAAAAAAUAAAGUAUAAAAAUAAAGGAAAUGUAUAGUACUCACUGUACUCCUACUGUAAGUAAGGUGUACUAUUAUUUGAUAAAAUAUUUUUGAAAUAAUACUAUUUAAGUAAAUGUAAUAUCAAAUCAUCUAUGACAAUAUUUUUCUGCUGGGGUCAAGAAAAACACAAAAUUAAAAGCUUUGUUUUGUUUGAAGUCUCAAAAUGUACGCUUCUGCAGAUAGCGUCGUAUUUUUCUCGUUGUCGAUACUCUUAUUACAUGUUUGGCCCUCAUUGAUAGAACUAUUGGCAAGCAAAAAAAACAUGUAGCUUCCGAUGUGACGAAAAGUUAAAAUGAGAUUGUGAGUCAUAAAAAGAGAAGAUGUAAUUUAGAAGUCAUGAUUCUGCAACAAAGGGAAAAAAGAAAACUAUAAAAAGAGUUUUGAUGCAAUGCAAUCUCUCAAGGGGUGUUGGUUUUCCGUAAAAUAUCUAAGAAAACAGUUUUCUCGUGGGAAAAAGUAUUUUUCUAAAGAACAGUUUUUUUCUAGAAGAUGAAAACGGUAAAAAUUAUUAUUAUUAUUAUUUUUACUGGAAACUUCUUUUUUUUUUUGAAAUAAUUUUUCAGGUAUCUCCUAGAAACCAAACAAACACCCCUUAAUAGUUAAUAUAUAGAGCUUUAACUUACUGAUAAAAUGCUUCAAUAGUAAACAGUACUGCACACAGCUAACAAAGGGAAUGGAAUGUGUGGGCAUGCAUGCAUUGUGGGAAUAUUAAUACAUGAGAGGAGUGCUGCUCCCCACAAGCAGUGGCUAUCAUUGAGACACUGUGCAUUGGCCCCUGUAUAAGCAAUAGGAGUGGUUAUGCAUUAUUAACUCACAUCAUAUGCCAUACUUUUGAUAGGGACAAAGGAACCACUCACUUAUAUAUAUGCAUUAUUGGGAGCAGUACAAAGAAUUUGCAAGCAUUUGGGGGGCCUGUAAUUUUGAGGGAAACCACUCUAUGCAAAUCUAAAAAAAAAAAAAAAAUUAAGAUUUUUUUUUUUUUUUUUUUUUAAGAUAGAGAGAAAGGUAGUAUGUUUGGUGAAAACUAAGAUUGUUUUCAGUAGAUGCUUGGUACAAUUUAGCCAAAUUAUUAGGAUCUUAUUGGUAAGGCACUUGGUGGGAUUUGAGAGAUUUCUUUGGUUCGAAUCCUAAUUUGAUCUUGGAUUACCGAGGUAUCAUCCAUAACUAUUUAGCCACUUGGGCUAGAGCUUGGUAGUAAUUUCAAAAUAGGAGCGUAAUUGUGUAGAUAUCAAGUUUUCUGCACUUAAAAAAGAAAGUUGCACACCAACCGUCCCUAGAGCAAGUUGUAAAGAACUUGGUAUCCGAGGUUUCAAGUUCGAACCAUAAUUGAUUCACAUUUCCAGCUAAGUUUAUUUUUAAAUGAAAAAAACGAAGCAGAUAGCGUACUACAGAGCUCUCUCAAAAAAAGAAAAAGAAAAAAGAAAGUUGCACAAUUUCGGCGAGUAAAUGAGCAAUGAAUGUCAAAUUUUCAAUAUGGGCAAAAAUUUGCAGUGAGAUGUGGAUGGCGAAUUAGAAAUUACUGUAUCAAUCUACUUAUUUGUAAACCUUGUAACAUGAGAAUAUCUGUUCAAGAUUUUUUUUUUUUGGGUUUAUUACAGAGUUGUUUGGAUUGUUUUGUAGAAAUACUAAAUACAACAAAACAAUCCUAAUCAUCUUAACUUUUUCUCUGUUUUUUUUGCAAUUUUGCAGUAAAAUGAGAGCAAAAACAUCUUAACAACUCUCUCCCCCUAACUCCCUCUAAAAAUGGAAUGUUUUUUUUUUGGUAAAAUGAAGGAUAAUCCAGAGCAAUUCAAACACCCUUAAUUGUGCACAAACUCAAUUCAAAAAUAAUAGGUGCCACAACUAUUUUUGGUUUUCAAUUUUUUUUAUUUUGAACUUGGUUGAAGAUAAUAGAUAAAAAUGCCACUCAUCGAAGCAAAUUUACCCUCCAAUUACAGUAAAAUUUAAAUUCUUCAAUGAUGACAUGUGAGACAUAAUGCUCUGUGAUAAAAUAUACAGAUAAUAUUUUUUAAUUUUAUAGUUGAUAGUGAAAGCCAAGAAGACAAAGUGACAAACACAACAUGUUAAGUGAGCCAUCAUCAUCAUCAUCAUCAUCAUCAUCAUUCUAUGCCAAAUUCCCCGCCAUUGAAGAUCUUUGUUUCAUCUUCCCUAAUUGACACAAAAACAAAUCAUCAACUAGUCAUAUAACACUCUUAUUCCUCCUCCCCUUUCCCCAAUAAAGAAGAGCAUAAGCAUAAAGCAAACAAAAGAGGCUCCUCUCUCUCUCUCUCUCUGUCUCUCUCUUCUCUCUCUACCUGGCAUCUUCCACUGUGUCAUGUGAGAUUGUGAAAAGCCAUUUUGCAUUACAAUCUCUCUCUCUCUCUCUCUCUCUCUCUCUCCCCUUGUGUUGUGGGGAGCCAUUUCCCAACUACUCUCUCUCACUCUCUUUGGCAUCUUCCACUUUGUGUUGUGAGGAGCCAAUUCCCAUUAGAAACUCUCUCUCUCUCUCUCUCUCUCUCUCUCUCAUUUGUAUUCUACUCAAAUCACUAUAUUCAUAUAUUCACCAUCCCCUUUCAUUCUCCUCUCUUAUUGGUAUAUCAUCUCCUUCUUUGGAAAUUUCCUCUCUUUUUCUCACUACAUUCCUCAAAGUUGGGUUUUUUUUUUUUUUUUUUUUUUAACUCUGAAAGGGUCCUCUUCCUCACCACAAGUUCAAUCAAAAUCCAAUUUUUAAUCUUGGGGUUUCUGUUUCUGCUUGUUCUUGAUGCUUCUCCCUCUUCAAUUUCUCAAAAUUUUCCACAAAUUUAGUUUACUUUUUACUCUUUGAUCUUGGUUUCUUCCACUUCCUCUGUGGAAUUGGGGCUUCCAUGGGACUCUGCCAUGGGAAACCGACUCAAAGCCCUAAGUUGGAGGGGAAGGAGGAGGAGGAUGAAGGAGACGAGUACGAGGAAGAAGAAGAAGAAGAGGAGGAGCGAAACCCUAAAAUCCCCGACCCCGACGCGCCGCCCCGCUCGAAGCCCUCGAUCCCCUUCUACAUCCCGAGCCCCCUCCCGGGCUCCUACAAGAGCUCCCCGGCGAAUCCGAGCGCCACUUCAACCCCUUUGCGAUUCUUAAAGCGCCCGUUCCCCCCGCCCUCCCCCGCGAAGCACAUUAGGGCGCUCCUCGCGCGGCGGCGCGGCGCCGUGAAGCCCAACGCCGCGGCGCCGGCGCCGGCGCCGGCGUCGGCUAUUCCCGAGGGGGAAGAAGCGGGGCUAGGGUUGGACAAGUGCUUCGGCUUCUCGAGGCAGCUCUUCGCCAUGUACGAGCUCGGGGAGGAGGUGGGGCGGGGCCAUUUCGGGUAUACCUGCGCCGCGAAGCCGAAGAAGAAGGGGGAGUUGCAGGUGGAGGAGGUGGCCAUUAAGGUUAUCCCAAAAGCAAAGGUAGUUCCUUUUUUCUCUUUUUCUUCUCCUUUUUUUUUUCGUAUUACAUACAGUGAGAAAAUCUGAUGAGAAAAGUACUUUAUUUGAUUUCGUACGCAAUGUUACGUUCCCACGUAGCAGUUACUUUGGUGAGAAACACACUAGAAAUAAAGGAAAAGAUAUUGAAUAAUAUCUGAAUGUUUGUAAGGUAUUAGAAGUUUAGUGAGAUGUAUAGAUUAACUUAAAGCUGGAUUAUAAAAGGAUAUCCCAGUAUUUAACCCUUUUUUUACAGAUGUGCAUUUAGAAGUGCUUUUCUUUGUUUGGUUUUAUGAUCAUGAAAAUGCACCAACUUUUUUCGAGUUGUAAUUUGACCAAAAGCCCAGCAACUAAGAAUGCAUAUCAAGUUGACCCACAAAGCUUCUUUAGAACAAAUCAGGCUCAGCAAUAUUUGGUUUGUUCCUAAUUGUAGGAUAAGAUUAAAAGUGCUUCAUUUUUUGGGUGAAAACAAUAAAGUGCACCAACUCUUUUUUUGAAUUUUAACUUGGCCAAAAAUUUUCCAUUUCAAGUUGAUCCAUAAAGCUUGCUAAUAUUUGGUGUUUAAGUGAUGUUGGACUCAUUCACAUUAAAUCCAACAAUCCCAAUCAGUCAUUUUUCUUGUUAUAUCAUGUUCUUAGUAAUAUAAUGGUGAAGCUUAUUACUAUUCUUUGAAGGUAUUUAUCUGAAUAUGUGACAUGGUGUCCGACUAUGGCUAAUUAAUUAUUUACAAUUCACAAGCUUUCUAACAUAUAUUGCUCUGCGACAAGUAUUGAUACCUUCUGCAGAUAUAUUGUUUUUUUCCUUUUAUCUUCUUUCUGUAAAGCAUGUUUUGCAAAUUUGUUUUUGACUGCACUACCAUGUUAACUUUUGUUUGCUUUAUCUGAGUGUUCAUUGAUUAAAAAUCCUGUAGAGCUGGAGCAAUGUCCGAUAAAUGGACAAGUGAUAAUCAAUACCUGGCAUUUAGUACUACUAUUUGUUUUCUACCUAUAACAUAAUACUGUAGUGUAAAAUCUGCUGUGUAGUACUUUGUCCUUUCUCAAUCAUUAAAUGAUGCCACUUAUAAUAGUUUGCCUCAGUUGGUUCUUUGAGGAUGGGAUCUAUAUAGAUUUUUUUUUCCCCUCUUAAAUAAUUUCUCUGUUUUUUCCAUGAAGAACUUAUUUAAACUUUGCUUAGAAUGGAAUAAUAAGCCUGAUCUGUUACUUUCUUGUAAUGAAAAACAAUUAAAAUGCUAAUAUUUACUGGAUUGGCGACCUUUUUCUUGUUUUCACUGUUGGUUUAGUAUGUUGUGUAAAAUAACACUUUUGAGUGUUUUGUUAUGAUAUUUUGAAUUUCAUAUUUGGGGAGCUGAAAAUGGUCGUAGGUGAAGAACUAAGCAUAAAAUAAAUACAUAUGCAUAUCUCGCAUGGUCUAAUGUGGUAAGCACUUUGGCAGAUGACAACAGUUAUUGCUAUUGAAGAUGUUAGACGAGAAGUGAGGAUAUUGAGCUCUCUGACGGGACAUCAGAAUCUAGUGCGAUUCUAUGAUGCUUAUGAGGAUGAAGAGAAUGUUUAUGUAGUCAUGGAGUAAGUCCUCAUUGCAUUUUCUUGUUCUCUCCCUAUUGAACGAUAUUGUUGAUUUAUCUCAUGUUCAAAAUUUAAACAUAAUGAACUGGCAUCUGUGUUGUAGCACAGAGGCAGUAUCCAAAUUUGGAGUCUGCUAUAUUGAAACUUUUGGGAUGAGAAAUACUAACUGAAAAAUGGAAAAAAAAUUCGAAAAAGUGGUUACUUAAAACUUAUUUUGGAAUUUGUGACUCCCUUGCCUACAUGGUAGGAAUGAGAUGCGGCCAUUUCAGCCCAUUUAGGUUGUUGAACAGCCCAAGUAUGGCUUAACUUUCUACCAGCUGAAUAAAAAGCGAACCGAUAUCCAUUUCAACCUUGUUUAGGCUGUUGAAUACCCCGAGGUUCGACUUGACUGUUGAACAGCCGAGGGCGCCAUGAACACACACCUUUCCCUGUCCCGCACUUGCUUUGAAUGUACUGUUUAGGCUGUUUAUAUUACCUUUCUUUGAUCUAGCGCUUCAUAAUCUUGCAAGUAUUAUUUGUAGCUUAUAAUUGUAAUUUUGUGCUCUUCAGAUUAUGCAAGGGAGGUGAAUUAUUGGACAGGAUAUUAUCAAGGUAUCUUUAAAUUCAUGAUAUAUACAUAAGUUACAUUUCCAGUUUCUGUUCAAGUUACCUACUUGUUUGUUUAAGUUUGAGGUUUGAGGUUCGAGGGUCGAACCAUGUGAUUAGCAAUUACAUACACGAUUGGCAGGGGCGGGAAGUAUUCUGAGGAAGAUGCAAAGGUUGUUAUGGCUCAGAUUUUGAGUGUCGUAGCCUUCUGUCAUCUUCAUGGUGUUGUCCAUCGAGACCUUAAGCCAGAGGUAGUAGAAGUUUGUUUAAUCCACUUGAGAUUUUUUCCUUUUUCCAAUAUCUGAUUAAAGUUUUGGAAUGUCAUUUAUGACUCUAUUAAUAAAUAAUAAUAUGUGCUUGUAACUUUGUGUUUCAGAAUUUUCUUUUCACUUCAAAGGAUGAGACCUCUACCUUGAAAGCCAUUGAUUUUGGCUUGUCCGAUUUUGUAAAGCCAGGUCUGUUUAAUGUAAUCUUGAUUGCGACCUUGUUUUUAGUUGUUUCAAAUAUUUAUUUGGUGAGAUAUUUACACAUAUACCUCCUUAAAAUAUCAUCUCUGUACUUAUAUGUAUCCUUUCAAAAUCUAAAUUUUUAUAUAUGCCCUUUGGAAACUUAAUUUUCUUUGACAUGUAUGCUUUAACUUACAGAAAUUCCCUUCUAAGCACCUUUUUUAAAACAAAGAUAACUUCUUCCCAUGAAUCCGUGACUACGAAAUGUGCAGAUGAAAGGUUAAAUGACAUCGUGGGAAGUGCAUAUUACGUCGCUCCUGAAGUUCUCCAUAGAUCUUAUGGAACCGAGGCGGACAUGUGGAGUAUUGGAGUAAUAGCAUAUAUUUUACUUUGUGGAAGUCGUCCUUUCUGGGCCCGCACGGAGUCGGGCAUAUUUCGAGCAGUCCUAAAGGCGGAACCGAGCUUCGAAGAAGCUCCGUGGCCUUCUCUCUCCGCCGAGGCUAAAGACUUUGUCAAGAGGCUUCUUAAUAAGGAUUACCGCAAGAGAAUGACUGCUUCGCAGGCUCUAAGUAUGUUCCUUGUUAUAUUGCUGUUGUUCAAUUCUUGUGUAGUUAAAAUUUGCUUUUCGUUAAAGCGUAAAUUCCAUUUUCUAAAUUUAGGUCAUCCUUGGAUUCGGAAUUCGCGAGAAGUGAAGAUUCCUUUGGACAUCAUAGUCUAUAGGAUGAUGAGAGCUUAUAUAUGUUCAUCUUCUCUAAGGAAAGCAGCUUUGCGGGUACAAUGAUUUUCCUUCUUCCUAUAAAUAUCUAAGUUAUUUAUCCCCCUGUAGCCCUGCUGGAUAAUUUAGUCCUCUUAUUUGUUCGUACUUACCAUAUUGUAUGUAAUGCAAUGAUUCUGUGCACUUUGUAGUAAGCUUGAUUCUCUUUUUAUCUUUUUUGUGAAUGUUAAGAUGCAGAAAAUGAUUCUCUUUUUAUCUUUUUUGUGAAUGUUAAGACGCAGAAAACUCGGCAUACAACAAAUCAACUGGAAUUUGGAUUGAUAGUUUUCAUUUUGCAGGCCCUUGCCAAAACUUUAACAGUGUCUCAGCUGUCAUAUUUGCGAGAUCAAUUUGGAUUACUGGGGCCGAACAAGAGUGGCUUUAUCUCUAUACAGAAUUUGAAGACGGUUAGUAAUUUCCUGCCAUCAUAUAUGCAUGUGUGCGAGAAAUGUAUAUUUAUUUGUGUGUUCACCUGAGUCAACCUCCGACAGGCUUUCUUGAAAAGCUCGACCGAGACGAUGAAGGAUUCAGGGGUUCUUGAUUUUGUUAACAUGGUAUGUCUCCGCAUCCUAGUACACAAUUGUUACUUCUUAAUCUGAUUGCUCUGAAACAAACUUUCCAAGAAGAUAAUUCGCUCCGAUGACGGUUUUGUAGGUGAGUUCUCUCCACUACAGAAGGUUAGAUUUCGAAGAAUUUGUCGCCUCGGCAAUUAGUGUUUAUCAGAUGGAAGCACUGGAAACGUGGGAGCAGCACGCCCAUCGUGCAUACGAAUUCUUCGACAGGGACGGCAAUCGGCCAAUUAUGAUCGAAGAACUCGCAUCGGUACGAUUCUCAUAAUUAAGUCAUUUUUCUAAGUCAUUUCUAUUUUCACAGUUGAACCCAUUGAUUACUUUAUGGGCUACGAAGAAAAUUAAUAAAAUUUCUAUGUUUUUUUUUUCCCCUUUCUUAGGAACUUGGUCUUAGCCCUUCAGUCCCUGUUCAUGUUGUUCUGAAAGACUGGAUAAAACAUUCCGACGGGAAACUUAGUCUCCUCGGAUUCAUUAAACUUCUACAUGGGGUUUCUUCGCGGUCGAUUCCCAAAGCCUAGCCAAUGAAAGCCUAAUCCUGUGAAUCCCGAAAUUAGCGCAGAUGAUAAGGUGGUGCAGAAACAAGAUCAUCAGCUUUUAUCACAAGACAAACAAGGUCAAUUUUCUGUUUCUUUUUUUUUGUCAGAUUUGUCACUUCUUUUCCCUAUCGAAUGGAUUGAUCACAGAGCGAAGUCGCUCAGAUGAAUGUAUAGAUUCAGGAUAGUAACUAGAAAAGUUAAAAAGUAAAUCCAUGCUAGGUUUAGUUGGUUCUCCUCCCUGUAGACUCUCAAAUCUCAUUACUCAAUUCUCAAUUAUGAGUAGGGAACUUAAAUUUUGGGGGUGAAAUAGUGUCUAGGGCCUUUUUUCUCAUCCUAUGAGGUAUCAAUGUAUGUAACGAUGAUUCUGCCCAGUAGCAUUAAUAACUUGUUGGGUCCAACCACUGGCCUAAGAUGCUUAAGGAAGAGUCCGUACUCCGUUAGUAGUAAUUCCUUUUCCAUCCGAUACAGGAUUAUUGAUGUGUCACCACCCAAGAGAAGCCUAAAAUGUUGUUAACACCAAAACAAACCACAAAAGCUUCAUCUAAAUGAAAACGUUGUCCAUUUUACUAUGAAGUUUAAACAAGUAGACACUAUUGAAGAUAAUGAAAACAUCGAAACAUCGUCCAGGGACACUAUUCAGCAUGCAUCAUGUGAUUGGUCACAUGCAUUGUACCUUCAAGUAUCAUGCUUAGUUAUUUUUGUUUCCUCUUUCAGUUUCUUUCUUCCGAGGGUCAGUUGGUUGAACGUAAUUGUAAAUGCAAUGUAGUUAGAGAUGCAUAUAGUUGAAAACACUGCAUGUACCCUUUUUGGUUGAAUAGAGUGAAUAUUUGGUUUCAUGUGGUUGAAUUUUGUAUUUACAAUUUUUUUUGCUUUUUAUAUGGAAUGGUGAGGUUGCUUUUAAUAUAUAAGGAAAAAUGUCUUCUCUUUAAAAGAUGAUUUAAGGUUGUAAGCUUAUUUUUUAUUUAAAAUUAUUCUCUUUAUUUGUUACAAUUGGAACUGUACCCAAUUUGGACGUAGUCUUAAUUUCUACUGUUGAGCCUCCUUAUGCUUUUCCAACUGCAGUGUUGGAUUUAAAUGGAUCAAAUUAAACACCAUAUCGGAAUUUGUAUGCAGUUAUAAUUACGGUACAGUUGCAACUACAUGUCCUAAGUAAAUUUCUGGUUACUGGGGAUCAUCAAAAAAAAAAAUUCCCUAAAUUAUUCUGUUCUCAGAUGCAGUAAGUGCUUUUUUCUUAAAACAUAUUUCUAUAUACAAAAUUAUACUUGGCCUGGUGACAACAGUAUUUUCUCUUAAGAUAAACCUUUUUGAAUUGGCCUUGUUUAGAUUCUGCAAUAGGAUAAGCUUGGUUCAGAAUAGUAUUAAAGUUGGAAAAUUAACUAGUUUUGAAUCCCUUUUCCCCUCUCUCUCUCUCUCUCUCUCUCUUGGAGAAAAUUGCCUCUGUAUCCUUGUACAAGUCCUAAAUUUUGUAUUUACCCUUUGUUUCAAAUAUAUUCCAGAAAAGUUUUUUUAUGUAUGUACCCCUGUUUUGAGGGUUUACUCAAAACAAUUAGGUGAGUUUAGAAGGAUAGGUUGAGAAUAGUAAAUUUGUACGGGAGAAGUCGGGAACUUUUUAAGAGUAUAUAAGUAAGGAACUAGUUUUGAAUCUUUGGCGAUAACUUGGGUAGUAUAUGAAAAUAUUUUUCUGUAAUUGCAAGUUGAGAGAUACUGCUUUCCAGCUAUUGUUAUGUAAUUAAAUCUUACAUGCACAGUAAUCUCUAUUCCAAAAAAAGUAAUAUAUAUGUUGAUCAUAUUAUUUGAUUAUUGAUACUGUUUUAUUUGUCGAUCAAUUGUGUGGAGAACAUCACCGAUCAUACCUAGCACAGCUUGUUAAGAAUUUGAUAUUUGAUAAUCAAAAUUUCAAGUUUGAAAUCAAGUUGCUUCACAUUUAUAGCUGAGUUCAAAAAAACUAAAUUCAAAGCGGGUAGCAUGCAGUGUCUUUCUCUCUCAAAAAAGAAAAAAAUAUGGAGAACAUCACCCAAAAAAAAAAACAAAUAACCACAAAAAUGUAUUAAAUUUGAAAAUAAAAUAAUAAAAAAAACCUGUUCUGAUGUUCUUCUAUUUGCUGAUAAAUAAAAUUGAUUAUUAAUAGAAAUAAAAUUUUAAGAAAAGGAAUUUUAAAAACUGGAGAUGCGGGGUAUCGAUCCCCGUACCUCUCGCAUGCUAAGCGAGCGCUCUACCAUCUGAGCUACAUCCCCUGCUGGAAAUUUCGUGCAGUAUAAUAUUUAUAUUAUUAAAAUGUAAGAAGUACGCAAUAAUUAUUAUUAAAUAAAUUAAAUAUAAUAUUAUUUUAUAUAUAAAUUGAGAGGUUCUCGAAAUCGAGAGAUCACGCGAGCGGAGGCUACCCCUCGUCCUCCUCCUCCUCUGCUUCACUCUCUCUCUCUCUCUCUCUCUCUCUCUCUCUCUCUCUCUCUCUCUCUCUCUCAUGGCGAUCCCUCGCAUGAAGAAGAGGCCUCGCCCUCUCCUCCUCCUCGCCCUCACCCUCGCCCUCGCCGCUGUGUCCCUCGUCCUCUUCGGGAUCCUCUUCUUCUCCGCCGCAUCCUCGCUCCCCACCCUCGGAUCCCUCCUCUUCUCCUCCCCCGCCCACUGGUCCGCGAGCGGCGGGGGCGGCGGCGGCGGCGGAGGAGGAUUGUACGGCCUCGAGCGGCGGUACCUGUACUGGGGCCACAGGAUCGAUUGCCCCGGCAAGCAUUGCGAGUCGUGCGCGGGGCUAGGGCAUCAGGAGUCGAGCCUCCGAUGCGCCCUCGAGGAGGCCCUCUUCCUUCAGAGGUCGGAUCUCUUCGAUAUCUUUAAUUCGUUUCUUCUUGUGAUUAAUGGUUUAGUAGUAGCUUUACAUUUACUUCGCUGUGUUCUACUGUAAUUAAAUAUCAUCAUUGGGUUUGGUUUGAGAUCUAGUUUUUCUCUAGGUUUAAUUUUUGUAGUUGGAAAUGUAUGGAGACCUUCUCAACUAUAGAUCAUUUUGAAAUAGGCCCCUCGAAGAUCCCAUCAAAUUUUAGUUAUUUUGAUUGGGGUGAUUCUCCUGAGUUUAAUUGGGGAUUUGUCGAAAUUAAUUGCUCUGUUGAAAAAAAAAAGCUUUUAAAACAGUCAAAUUUAAUUUAAUCACCCUUAAAUUUAAUAAAAAUCAAAUAUUGGUUGACGAAAAUAAUGCAGAUCAAAAUAUCAAAGUUAAGAGCAUCUCAAUUGAAAAAAAAAAAAGAAGAAAGAAAAUUGUUUAGUGGUCUAUUCCAACACUGCUUAUAGUUGAUGGGGUCCCUGUUAGUUGUCUUUGUAAGAAAUAUAGAACUUUUGGUCCAACAUGAUAUUUAUUGCUCCUUCCUUGAAUUUAGGUAAAAGCUUAUGGAAACCCCCUCAACUAUAGGCCAUUAUGAAAUGGUCCCCUCAACUUUAAUUUUUUGAUUGAGUAUGCUUGAACUUUUGAUUUGAUUCAAUUGUAUCAAAUAGAUUGGAAAUUUUAUCAGAUCCAUAGGUAUUUUUUCCGAAUUAAUGGCUUUUAGCAUAUAUAACUAGACCAACUAAAGAUUAAUAAUUAACAAAGUUAUUUAAGGGGUCUGUUUUAAAAUAACCUAUACUUGAGGGGGGUGUCCAUACAUUUUACCGAGAAUUUGUUACCUCUUGCUAGUAGUUAUUGUACUUUGGCCUGAUCGUAACCAAGCUUUGCUACGCUUUAACUAUCUCAAGUUUCCUUACAAGAACUAAUUGUGCACACAAUUCUAGUAUGAUCAGGAACUGAAUCUCGGUAAAGUUCUAAGAUUUGUUGUUUCUUUUCUAUGCAGAGUGUUCGUGAUGCCUUCUAGAAUGUGUAUUAGCUCGAUUCAUAACAAGAAGGGAAUCUUGCAUUCCCCUAGUGAUGCAAGUUCAGAGGAAAGGUAAGCUUAUCAAGUACCAGUCGCUAGCUGUUUUAAUUUUUAGUUGUCUGACAGUAUUUAGAGAUAAUAUAUCUGAGAAUUGACAAUUUUAUCAGUAGAUGUCUUACAGCAGCCUCUUGUUAUUUGGUGUGUUUUGAUCACUAAAUCUUUAUGUAUGAUGCAUAAUGUCAUAAUUUUAUUUCUAUCAUUCUUGUGCACUGUUAUUAGCUCAGUUUCUUGUGGACUGUUCAGGUUUUUCUAAUGUAUUGUGCAUUGUUUGAACCAAAUAUAUCAAGUAUGAUUAGUUGUUUCUCAUUUAUACUUCUGCUUUACAUUUGCUUGACCUGGAAAAUAUUUUUGACGUUAAUCAUUUUAAGAAUCUAAUUCUAGCUUAGAGGUAGUUUAUUGUUGUGAAUGGUAGUCAUAUCUUUUACUCUUUAUUCUUUGAUCUGUUUAUGUUGCAACUGUACCCUAAUUAUAGUAGCCAGAAGAGAUGUCAAAGCUAGAUGUUGGCAAUAUGUUUUCAAUUUGCAUUGUAGCAUUUUGACUUCUGUUAAGUGUUAAAAUUUAUGAUUCAAAUUUAAAUGCUUUACAGAUGGGAAGCUAGUUCUUGUGCGAUGGAUUCUUUGUGCGAUGGAUUAUUUGGUGUGUUUUGAUCACUAAAUCUUUAUGUAUGAUGCAUAAUGUCAUAAUUUUAUUUCUAUCAUUCUUGUGCACUGUUAUUAGCUCAGUUUCUUGUGGACUGUUCAGGUUUUUCUAAUGUAUUGUGCAUUGUUUGAACCAAAUAUAUCAAGUAUGAUUAGUUGUUUCUCAUUUAUACUUCUGCUUUACAUUUGCUUGACCUGGAAAAUAUUUUUGACGUUAAUCAUUUUAAGAAUCUAAUUCUAGCUUAGAGGUAGUUUAUUGUUGUGAAUGGUAGUCAUAUCUUUUACUCUUUAUUCUUUGAUCUGUUUAUGUUGCAACUGUACCCUAAUUAUAGUAGCCAGAAGAGAUGUCAAAGCUAGAUGUUGGCAAUAUGUUUUCAAUUUGCAUUGUAGCAUUUUGACUUCUGUUAAGUGUUAAAAUUUAUGAUUCAAAUUUAAAUGCUUUACAGAUGGGAAGCUAGUUCUUGUGCGAUGGAUUCUUUGUACGAUCUAAACCUCAUUUCAAAAGUAGUUCCAGUGAUUUUGGACAACUCCAAUCUGUGGCACCAAAUACUGUCAACAAGUAUGAAACUAGGAAAGAGGGGGGUGGCUCACGUGGAAGGAGUCAACAGAUCUGAUCUCAAAGAAAAUAGCAUGUACUCAAAUGUGCUUCUAAUAAAUCGCACUGCAAGUCCUCUGGCAUGGUAAAAUUUGUUAUUAUUAUUUCAUUAAGUAACCUUUUAUUCCUUCUUCUUGUCAGAUUUAAUAUCUGGGAUGCGUUUCUUUUACUCCUUUAAAUAUCAAAAUCGAUGAAAGAUGCACAAUUUUGCUAGGUGAAUGUUUGAAACAUCAAGCGCUAGUCUUGAUCAUGAUAACCAUCCAGGUUUAUGGAGUGCAAGGAUAGAACCAAUCACAGCUCUAUUUUGCUGUCGCACUCCCUUUUGCCAACCAUGGCAGCUGAAAGAUUGCAAAAUGUGGCAGAUAAAGUAUGUCUUCUUCAGCUUUUUCUUCUUCUUUUUCCCCUUUAAUUUCGUGCUAGGUGAGAGUGUGACUUUCUUUCUUGUCCUGGAAUAUAUGCAGCUUAUCCUUCCCGCUGUUGUCAAUUGUUACUUGUUUCUGAUUUGGAACUUUCGAUAACCCAGCUCUUCCUAUAUUCAUGAUAGACAGGAUGUACACUCAUGUCAUGAUAAACAAGAUAUACUCCCUUAGGACUACUUCUGUAAUCCGCAUCUUUCAAAUGUCAAACAACCUCUUUACAUUUUUAAGCCCUAUCAUCCAACUAGAGUUGUGUUUCAAUUGCUUUCUUGAGUAGUCAGUGCUGGGUGAUCUUGGUCGAUUUUAAUAGAUGAUUAUUUUCAGGCUAGGUCUCUCUUUCCAUGCACCUUUCCGUGAGUAGGGAUUUUAUUUGUUUCCCAUCGAAUUGGCACACAAAAAAUCAGCUAAAUAAUUUAACUUGUUAUCAGCAUUAAGCUGUUCCUGAUCUCAUCUAUUUGAGGAAAAGAUGUUUGUAUUAGCACUUGAGCCACAUCCGUAUAAUCCGAAUAAUUAAUUAGAGUGACUUGCUCAUAGUAUAAGACCUGUAACUUACCUGUUAGUUUGUUCAACAUAGACAUGUAGUAUUGGUAAUAACAUGCAACACAGUUACUCUUUAGGCACUUGAUUUGGCAUAUACGCCUAGUUUUUAAACAAAACCCAUGUUGAUAGCAAAGCCAACUUGUGGGCAUUGAUUAAGCUACUCCUACACUGCCUACGAACUGACUGAAUUAGACUUGUCUUAAAGUUAUGCGAAAUAGUUAAGAGGUUCGAGUGACCAUAACAUGCUGAGUGUUAUAGUUUAUAUUAUUUGCAUAUCUCUGUGUACAUGGUCCUCUUAUUAAAGCAAAAUGCUCUUUCUGUGUGCGGCCUUCAUUUAGCUUACAAAAAAGUAUAUUCGAUGCAGAUUAAAAAAUCACUUGGUGAUUAUGAUGCUAUUCAUGUGCGGCGAGGGGAUAGGUUGAAAACCAGGAAAGAUAGAUUUGGAGUUGACAGGAGCCGUCAUCCGCAUCUCGACAGAGACACCCGCCCUGAAUUUAUACACCGGAGGAUCGCAAAAUGGAUUCCGCCUGGACGUAGUCUAUUCAUUGCUUCAGAUGAGAGGACUCCCGGCUUCUUUUCGCCUCUAUCCGCCUGGUAUCCCCUAAUCCUUUUUAAUAAUAAUCUGAUCAGUUUAUUUUGGAAUUUACUUCUCAGACCCAUACAAGUCCAAGAUACAUGCGUGUAAGUCCCUUGUCUCUUUUGAUUUUAUGGACCAUUGAUCUUAAGGACUACUAAAUUAUGAUAAGCACUUUAUGUCUAUAAAGAGUUGGGCUUUUUUUUUUUUUAAUGCAUGUAUCCUAUUUUUACUUGUUUUUCUGUUUUAUUUUGUGCCUCAUUACCUCUUAUCGCUUAACCUAAAUAUUAUUUAUAUUUCUCAGCCAUGCAAUUCUUGUCCAACAUAUAUUCAUCUAUAAUGUUACUAUUUCAGCUAAGAAACUAAAUAUUCUUGUGAUUCCACUUGGUCAAUGAAAAUGCCUGGAUAUUGCUUUCAUGUGAUUAAUCAAAAAAUUACAAUAUUUUGUCACCUGCAAAAUUGAGAAAAAGUUUUACAUUCUUGAAACAAGUUUACCUACUAUUUGGACACAUUUAUUGUUCUUCAGGUACAAAUUAGCAUACUCAUCAAACUUCAGUAGCAUAUUGGACCCGGUAAUCGAAAACAACUAUCAACUUUUCAUGGUCGAAAGGUUAAUUAUGGGAGGCGCGAAAACUUUUGUGAAGACAUUUAAGGAAGACGAGAAUGACCUUUUCCUCACAGACGAUCCGAAGAAGAAUCCGAAGAAUUGGCAAAUGCCUGUUUAUACUGACGAAGAAGACGGAAGCUGAAAAAUGGAGAAAAUGCACAAAAGUGCGCACAGCUUGCCUACAUCUUAGUGAGCUUACAAAAUUCAAAUCAGUGAAUUCGACACCUUACUGAAAUAUCGUUUUUAAAUUGGAGGUGUUACUCAUUCUUUUUUUCCUGUUUUUUUGGGGGGGCGGCGAAGAAAGAAAAAAGAAAACAAAGAUUGGAACAGUUGUAUAUUCUGCAAUGCAUAUUUUUUGUGUUACAUGACAUGGAAGAGAUUGUAAACUGUGAUUAUCGUAUUCUUGAGUAAUAGUAGUCAAAAGACAAUUUUAAGACUCAAAUUUGAAUUCGAUUUUUCUUCAUAUACAAAUUUGAAUUCGGAUUCAGAUAUACAUGCAUUCAAGUAUAGACUCAAAGCUAGGCCUGUGAUCUUGAAACAUAAUAAAAAUUUAUAUCCAAAUAUUUAUAUUAAAUAAAGUAUAAUCUUUUCAAAUAUCCAUAUCACGAUCAGUCGCUGCCGUUCCUCCUGCUACUAAGGCCCAAUUUAUAAUUUACGAAAUAAUACUAUCAAAAUUUUAUUUAGUCAAAUAAUUCUAUUUCGUAAAGAAUUAAUUAGUCAAAUAAAAUUUUAUACAUUUUUUUUAUUCUAAUUUUUAUAGAGAUAUUAAGUAAAAAAAAAAACCUUUAAAUAUCGUCCCCGUGGUUUCACACUUUUUUAUUUUAGUAUCCUAUAAUUUAAAGUGUAUCAAUUUAGUAAACCGUGAUUUUAAUUUUCUCUUUUUAUUAUUUUUUGCACUAAUUUUUUUCGUUAAAUCGGUGUUAAAUCGGUGAUAUAGUUAAAACUAAAAAAUACUAAAAUGAGAAUAUUCGAUAAAUUUAGAUAGAAUAUCUGAAGUAUUUUUAUAUAUCAUUUAACGAAAUAUUAAUGAAGAAGCUGACGAAAAAAAAAAAAAAAAAGUACUAAAUUGUUAUUACACUUUAAACUAUACGUACUAAAAUAAAAAAUUACAAAAUAAUAGGAUGAUAUUUAAAAUUUACCCAAAAAAAACAAGGAAGAAAAAUCCUUUGGCCCGAAGGCAUUCCCCCGUCGCUUUCAGCCAGUGGCAUCUGCGUCGCGCAGGGCCGCUAAAUCGGUCGGCUGUCUUUACACGGGCACGGAUCCACUGGCGCCACGCGGCCCAAUGGGAAAUCAGAUUUAGAUGGAAUUUCUUCUCAGCCACACACACCGACACAUGAUACAUCACACAUACAUCCUCCCUCACCCACAAAACCAACCAUCUAUACAACUUCUCGGAGAAGCUCCUCCCCCCUCUUUCCCAAUUUCCUCCCCCCUUAUCCACAAGCGCUUCUCCUCAGUGUUUUUUUUUUUCUCCUUUUUUUUUUUCAAAAAAGAGAUCUUUCUUUUUGUUUAUUGAUCCCUCCAUCUCUUCUUCCACCACCAAAUUACAGUAAGAAUCCUUAAAUUCUUCUUCUUCUUCUUCUUCUUCUUCUUUUGAACUUUUUCUUCUUUUUUAGUUGUUUAAGGGUGCUUGCUUUUGAGGUUUAUUUGAUUUUUACCUGCUUUUCUUGGGUCGGUUUGGGAUUUUGGAUCUUGGAUUUUGGAUUAUGGAUGAUCGUGCUUUGUAAUUUUAGUUCUUCUUUGUGGGUUUUACUUUUCUUUUUCUCAUGUAAGUUAUAAGUGGAUCUGUGCCCUUUUUUCUUCACUUGAUUUCUUUUUUCCUUCUUAUUCGAGUCUUUUUCUGAAAAGAUUAAAUUACUACUAGUAUGAAUCUAUGCUUUCUAGCUUAGUUUUACUUUUGGAUCUUACUUUUUUUUAAAAAAAAAAGAAAUUUAACUUGAUUUUUCCUGAUAUGAUGAUCGAUGUUUAGAAUUUUGCUUAAAAAAAGGCCAUAUAUAUAUAAAUAUAAAUGAGAAAAACCAAUUGUUGUGGAUGCGAAAUUACCAUGUUUUUAUAGUUUUAUUAGCUUUGUAUUCCCCAUUUUUGCUUACUCUGCUAGAAAAAUGAAAGUGAAAAUUAUCAACUAACAGGUCUUGAUCAUGUGGAAUUUCUUCAGAUCCACAUGAAAAAAGAGAAAUUGCAAAAUUUUACUACCAUCGCGAGUGUUUCGAUUGCUUAUGUUGAGCAGAUUCGAUAAUCUGACAUGUUCUUAUUUACAGAUAAGCAGCAUGGAUUGGUAUUUCCUCGAAGAAAGCGACGAUUUUCUUGUCCCGAGUGAUCAAGAACCCUUUGGAGAUGUUCCUGCGUUUUCAGAUGACUGGCGUUCUUGGGCCGUCGCUCCGCCAAAAGUUUCUCAGCCGUGCGGGGAUGAUGCUCUUCUGCAGCACGGUCGAGGUUUAUAUGCUGACGAAAUGAAGCAGAGUGCAUUCAAAGAGGGAGAAAGAGGAUUCGGUGAUUCGACCGCACGGGGAGAGUCUACGCCGCUCGAUUGCUGUCCAAGAAGCUCGGAAGAAUCGUUCGAAUGUCAGACCAAGUGCGAGAUGCCGGACAACUUGGAGGAAAUGGAUAACAUUUUCUUGUGCAAGCAUAACUUCCGGGAUCCUUGGUAAAAUAUACAUAUAUAUAUAGUUUUAGCUCCUAUUGGAAAUAAAGUAGUUUGUUUUACAUAAAAAGUAGGGCUUAAAUUACAUAUCUGUAUGUUAUGUGUAAAUUAAAAUGUAGUGGAUCUUAAAUUAAGGUAUAAACAGUUAAAUAUGAUCAAGAACAUCUAAGAUGCAUGCUGAUAAAGUUCCACAAAUUUUGAAAAUCGAUUUCUUACACAUCGAGUGGUGUUAAGAUCAAUGACCCGGAAUUUACAAAAAAAGGGCUUUUUUUUAUAUAGGUCUUCAAAAAUUAUGAUUUUUUGUAAGUAGGUCUAUUUUAUGUUGUAAAUCACUUUCAAGCGGUUUAGAUCUUCAUUUUGAAACUUUUGUGAUUGGAUUUUAGCUUGUGUUAGUAGUGUGUAACUUAAAAGUGUGUAAUUGGGUCUCUACUCUAGAUAUAUUUAUCUUGCAACCUCAAAUUUUUAAAUAGGCCCUUUAGAAACUUAUUUUCGAGUAUAUAUUAACCAAUUCGUGACGAACUGGAUGACUUUCGAGUCUCAACUUAGAUAAACAUAUUUUUAUAGCUGCAAAUAGAUGAUUUUGCCGGGAUAUAUUAAUAAAAACCCCUAAGUAGUUUGUACUUCUUUGGAUUUUGAUGUCAUGGAUGCUUAUGCAGGAAUUCAUUUCUGGAAGUAGAUACACGGAACAUGGAAAACGCAUUUGAGCCAGUACAAAUGUUCCCCGACUCUAUGUACAGGUCGUUGUCGUUUGAGAAUAUAUUGGCGACUAUGCUCGCCGAUCCACAAAAUCAUUCGGCAAGUUUAAGUAGAAGUGAAAGUAUGAAUGAUCUUGAAGCCUGUGGAAUUCCUCUGUUCCCUAAUGACCUGUCGGAAGAUUUCGAGAAGACUGAUGACUGCUCAUCUUCAUGCGUGAAUAUGCCAGACGGGUCUGUAAUACUUCGUGCCGAGGUAAAAUCAUCUGUCGUUUCGUUAAUUGAUAAGGUCGUGUUGAUGCAUAUUUACCAAAAGAAUUGAUGAAAGAUUAGACAUUCUGUUCGAAUUCUCUUUAGCCAUUAAACUUGCCAUAUUUUAGGUUUUAUUUGCUCUAUGCUUCGAGUCCUUAGUUUUGAGGUUUGAAAUGUAGUAUCUUGGAUUUCGAGUUUCUGCUGAAUUGUUAAUGUACAGAAGAAAACUAAAUGCUAGUAUUCGAAUUUCGAUCACCUUUAAUCUGCUGUCUCAUAGCUGGUUUUCACACACAUUUUUGUUGAUAGUUUAUUAAUUCCUUAAUUAUUAUUUAACCUUACUUCCUUUGGAUGAGAAAUGUCCUUAUAUUCUUAUUAUUAUCAUGUUCCAGAGAGGCAUGACCUUGGGUGCUUCAUGUUUAGUGUAAUUUCACUCUCAGGAUUCGGAUCCCUACAUAUUCGUUCCGGCUGAAGUUAGACCAACAAGUGAGAGCAAAUUAGUUGCUGCUGAUGCAGAGAAGCCUAAAUGUUCGGAGGCGACAGUGCUGCGAGAGCUUGAAGAUGCAAUAUUGCUGGUAAAUUCAACAACGAAUCCUACGUCGUUUUCCCCUAAAUUCAUUUCGUGUUUCUGAAGUAUGCCAAUUGAACAGCUAAAUGAGGAGACGAGGAUUUGCUUCCGCGAUUCUUUGUACAGACUUGCUAGUAGUUCGAAAGACAAAAAACGCAAAAGAGAUGAAAGCAGAAUCACGGAGACGACUGUUGUCGCUUCGGCUCCAAAGAUGAAGGGUGUAAGUUCAAGGUAUGCCGCGAAAAUUUUCCUUGUUGCUAGUUCGGAGCUUCUGUAUCUGACAUUUUCCUAGUUGCUGGUUCAUGCUAAUAAGUAACAUAAUGUCUAAUCCUGUAUUAAUGGUAAUUCCUUCUCUUGUUUUUUGUAAUCCAUCGGAACUUUUGGCAUCGUUAUACCAUUCCGACAAAUGUAUCGACACAAUAAAGGCUUAAAUACAAAUAACCCCCCUUCAAUUUUCGCCGUGUAUAUAAAAUUGCAUCAAUUUUGAUCCUUAACUUUACAAAUGUCUGAAAUAGGCAGAAGGACAUUAUUAGUUGUGUGAAUCUGCAACUAGCUUAUCUUUACGAAAUAAAACAGGAGUUUUUCACAAACUUUGGUAAUUUAAAUCUGCAAGCCACCUACUCGCAUUUGCGCGCGUUUUCUUCUUCUUUAUCUUGCUUACUCAAGUCAUUAUUACUCAUUUCAGGGCAAAUAAAUCUGAGUGCACGGAAACGGAGACCAACAUAAUCGAUAGGACUGUCGCGAACCUCGUGUUCAAUCAGUCAUUUGCUGGCUCUUCAGACGCGAAAAAUCCUGUGCUGGCUUCGUAAGUGAAAGGAAAAUCAUUCGGCAGUUUCGGGCUCGUGCACCAAGUCAGAUCUUCCAUGACCAACUCUACUCUAUUGUAUGAGUGAUAAGUUGCACCAUGGAUCUUUUUGAGCAAGUAACAAGAAGCAAUGAGUAGGAACAAGUUAUUACUUUUUGUAACUUAUCUAAACUUUGGAUCAUUUUGAAUUGACUACGUAAACUUUCGAAAGGUUGAUUUUACUAUCCAACCUGUCAAUCUGUUUAAUUUCAGUCAGUCGACGAUGCUUCGACUUCAAAAUUUAAGUUUAUUAAAACAAGCAAUUAUCUCAAACUUUGAAAUCAAAGUAUCGUCGACUGACUUAAAGCAAACAAAUUGAAAAUUCGAAUAGUAAAAUUGAAGUUUUGAAAGGUGGGUAGUUGAGUCAAAAGGUUGUAAAUUUUUACCUUGUAUUGAUCCAUCUAGUUUGAGCAGACAUUUUUGUGCAGAUCUCGUGAUGUUAUUGUAUAUGUCAAAAGGAUGUGUAGUUGUAAAAAUAUGAGAUGCCACCAAAAUUGGAGAUUAUAAUUUUGGAUAAUGUUCUAUGAUGACCUCUCCUAAAUGCUUUGCUUAUACUCUGGACUGGAUGAUCUGUUCUUUUUGUUUUUCUUUAAUUUGUAGGCUAGAUUAUGAAGGGGUAAAUUGCACUAUUGGUUCUCAAACUACGUGGCGCAUGAUAUUUUGUUUCUCGAACUUUUAAUUUAUUACAAUUACAGCUGGCUUGAAUUUCUAAAAUGUGGUUGCGAUUAAGUCCUACAAUAUAAUUUAGUUGACUAAAUGGUAAUAUGCCGGUGAUGUAACUAUAACAUAAUAGUAUACAACACUGUCAUAUUAGCGACACAUUAUUUGUCAAUCAACUAAAUUAUAUUGUAGAAUUUAAUCACAAUAAUUUAAAAAGUUUAAACCAGUUAUAACAAUAAAUUAAAUUUUGAGGACCAAAUUAUUACCUACCUUACAAAUUGAGGACCAAAAGUGCAAUUUAGCCAUUGUAAACUUCAGUGCAAGCAGUUAAAAUAAGGGAAGAUUUUGGGUGAAGGCCCCUGAGUUAAUUAAUUAAUUAAUUUGUUAAGCCCAGUUUGAAUGUCGGAAUAAAUUAUGUGAUAAUAACUGAUUCGAUAUAUAAGAAUUUUCUAUUGAGAUUAAAAACUUGGUUUAGACAUUGUUUUAGUAACAUAAAGAAGAAAAAAAAAGAAUAAAAAAAUUCAAAUAAUUACAUUGAGAAGUAAAUAGAGAAAAUAAUAAUUAAUAAAAGGGCGAGAUUUUGGCAAGAUAAGUGUUGGGUUAGUGAUAUCAAAUUUACUUAUUAGCCUAAUUGGUUUUAUUUUGGAUUUGGUUCAACAACUCAUGUAAUGGGCUAGUUAGUAUUUGGUUUGGGCUUUAGUUGACCCAUUUGGUAUGUUAAGCCAAGUGGAGUUAAGAGAGAACUCUUUGGCUGCGUUUGGUUGGAGACUAGAUUUUGGAGAACAACUUUUGUUGUUCCCGAGAACAGUGGAUAUUCCGGUACAAGAUAGAACAAUUGUAAAUUUGUGUUUGGAUGAAUUCGAGAAUAUUCUAGAGGAUAUCCUUAAUAGCGUUCGGAUAAAAAGUCUAGAACAACGUCUAAAUAUAUUUUUAAAAAUAAAAUAAUUAAUUUAUAUUAGUAUAUUUUAUAUAAAAUUAUUUAUAAAAUUAUUUCAUAUAGUAAUUUAUAAUAUAAUAUUUUAUGUAAGAAUCUAAUUUAAAAUAAUAUAUUUUAUUUUAUUAUAUAUAAUAAUUUAUUUUAUGUAAUAAUUUAUUUUAUAUAAUUUAUUCAUAAUAUAUUAAUGAAUAAAGUAUAAUACUAACAAUAUCCCUAUAUUUUUAAUUAAUAAUUAGUAUAAAUUUCAAUACAAAUGGCGGAAUGACUGUUAUUUAUAGUACUGUAAAAUUGGUCUCAACGGUGAAACAACCAUCUAGAAACGGGCACGACGGCCUAUGACACUAUCGGUAUAUUCAGAAUAUUACGAUCUGUUAAUCUCCCCAUGCUAACAAACUCCAACUACCCACCUAAUUGGUUUUGGCCAAAUUACAAGGGGUUUGGUACAGUAACCUGGCUUUCCGCAACACUAACAAACAGUGACAUCCCUUGCAAAUCUUGAAUUUUUGAUUUGAAGAGCUUAUGCGGCUAAAACCUCUUUAAUUGCGUUUUGAAGAUGGCUCUUUCGGCGAAAGUGUUUACAUCUUGGUCCGUGGCAUGUGAAAGUCAUGGUAACUAUUCGUUAUCAUCAAGAGGACAGUGAUUAAGAGCAAGUUGAAUCUUCAUCCAAUAUGAAAAGCCAACUAGGGAACUCUUACUCCAGAAGCACAUCUAAUAAAUGCCAACUUCGCAACCAACCGCAAAAAGACCACAGACAACAUUAUUUCAAGUGCAAAAAUUCCAAGUACUUAGAUCCUGCUCAAACAAAUAUCUAGGUUUAGACUUUUGAUAAGUAACACAUUUUGACCUAAUUAUUGUACUAUAAUAAGAAUCAUCUGUCAUCUCUUUGAUAAGAAAUGCUAAAACUUGCCGAAGCAAAGGUAGGGGAGAUGAGAGGUCAUAGUAACUUCUGGAAUCAUUGCAGGCCUUCAGAAGAAACAAUUCCAGCAGGAUGCGAUACCUAGGUAUUAAUGGGCUAUACACUUAUAGAUUCCAAAAGCCUCUCGACUUUGUGCCAAAGAUUACCUAAAAGCGUGACAAAUUCAAGCGUUAAUGCAGCGUAUCAGAUCUAUUGUUCUCCAUCUCAUCUCGCCCUCAUCAAAUCAACAUAUGCCGAAUCCAUGAUCGCGCUUCUCGCGUGGUCAACUUUGAUUGUGCGACCCAUGAAUCUUCUACGCUGUUUUGGAAUGUCACGCUCAUGACCGUCUUUCCAAUACACGAGUACUCGGCCUCUCGACUGUUUCCAGUUGAACAGUGGUGAUAUCUCAUAACAUUAUAAGGCAGAGAUACUAUAUAUCGCCGAUACUGUACCCAAUACAAUGAGCUACUAAACGCUAUUCAAUGCUAGGCUGUUGUGUAUUGAGCCACUAUUAUAUAGAUCGAAUAUCAGAGACGUAAAAAAAACUCCAAAAGUGAGCCCCAUGUCAAGUAACAAUAACAAUUAGCAAAACAAAAAUUUUAGUUUAAGUAAACCUAGUUUAAGAAAUCUAUGUUCAUAUUUAUAGAUAAUAAAUGACUCUUCAAGGGAAAAGAUGUAAUCAAAUAUUGCACAACAGUCGUGGAGUCUGUUUCUGCAAUAUGCCUAUAAAUUACAGCUUACCAGCCGGAAUCAUGACAUUCUUGUGCCUCUAACCCAUGCAUCACUCUAUGGCCUAAUUGUUAGAUAGAUAGUAGAUUAUAAGGCAACCUGCAACUGAAGAAAGCAAGCAUCACCCCGAUUGCAAGCUGAAUUGCUCUCAUGUAUCUUAUUCACUAUAUUUGAUUCAUGGCAAUCGAUGUGCUUAUACAUUGCUUCAGUUUAUAUCUCAAAGGGACUUAUAUCACUGUGUAGGAUUUAUUAAAAACAUAUAAAAGUGACUGGUAUCAUAUCCUUUAUUCUGUCUAUACCNNNNNNNNNNNNNNNNNNNNNNNNNNNNNNNNNNNNNNNNNNNNNNNNNNNNNNNNNNNNNNNNNNNNNNNNNNNNNNNNNNNNNNNNNNNNNNNNNNNNNNNNNNNNNNNNNNNNNNNNNNNNNNNNNNNNNNNNNNNNNNNNNNNNNNNNNNNNNNNNNNNNNNNNNNNNNNNNNNNNNNNNNNNNNNNNNNNNNNNNNNNNNNNNNNNNNNNNNNNNNNNNNNNNNNNNNNNNNNNNNNNNNNNNNNNNNNNNNNNNNNNNNNNNNNNNNNNNNNNNNNNNNNNNNNNNNNNNNNNNNNNNNNNNNNNNNNNNNNAUACUUUGAUCAAUAGAGAACAUUGCAUAAAGUAUGACAGCAUCAUAGCUCAGCAUGUAUGAAUCGUCAUUUGAAUUGAACUGGCGGCAACAUUUGGCUAAUACCAUGCUUCCAAGCCACAAAACAUCUGAUUCCACCAUGCAUCAUAGGUAAUGGGAUGAUUUCAUCGGAAUCCAUAUUGGGACUGAAAAACACCAAUAACCGAGUAAAGGCAACAAAUUAAACCCAAAAAGGAACUAAAAAGCUCACCUCCAGGCUCCAAGUAUGCGGAUAAUAGAACGUUUUUAUAUCAUAGUCAAGUAGGGACUAGAGAUCCUCAAGGCCCAACUAUUAUCGAGAAGAUUUUGCAUCUCACAACAGAGACAUAUAUAGAACAUCAAAAAGGCCACUUACUUGUCUUAGGUGGAAGUAGAUAAAGAGUAGUAAUGGAGGGACUUGACAAGUCAAGCAAGCUUCAGAGAUGUAUUAACUUGCAGCCGAAAAAAUUGACUCAAUUAAUAACAAAUCUGCACAGGAAAUCGAGCAGUAUCCAUCCAUUCUUGAGAGGGAGAUGCAGAUGCACAUUAAACAACUCCAAUUAAUGUUGGUUUUGAAGAAGAGAAGAAGAUGAGGCCUCUCGAGGCGAGUCGACAACUCGAAGCAACACAAUCCAAGAAGGAUCUAACUUUCUACUUUGCAUCCGAGGGAAAUCACCUGAAUUUAUUGAAGAUCUGCACAAGGAACUGAAGAUCGGCUACCAAUUGAUGAGGUUGGGAGGUAGAUUGAAAUCGCUACCAAUUGAUGAGGUUGGGAGGCAGAUUGAAAUCAUUCCCACAUAGUUAAUGCUGGUUUUAAGCUCCAGAGGAAGGAUUAGGUUUAAUAUGGAGUUAAUAUGAAAGAGAAAAAACCGGCGGCGUUGAAAAGUGAAGAGAGCUGAGAAGAAGAGGAGUAGGUGAGAGGAUGGAGUUAAGAGGGAUUUGAGGAGGAAGAAGAAGGCUUCAGCAGGGGAAAGAGACGACAAUGGCAUAGAAUGGGUAGGUGAGUUGGUGGAGAGGAGAGUAAAGUUGCUCGGGUUUCGAGAAAAUUUAUUUUUUACUACAUCUACCCCUGCAAUUCUCGAGAUUUAAUCCUUAUUCGAGGGGUGAGGAUGAAUAAAAUUAACGGGUUAUUCCAUGAUAUUCUGGAAUAACCCGUUUUGACCGGGUUAAAAUAUUUAGAUGGAAUUCAAUUUUGUUUGGCAAAAUAAUUAGGAUAAAUCAGUUUAUUCCCCUGUUAUUCUGUUACCAAACGCAGCCUUAUUAUUGCUUCUUAUAUUACUAUUUUUUAAUUAUUUAUUCAUCCUAUCGUGUGAAUUACUGUACUAGAUAAAUAUUAAAUCGUAAACUUUUAAAUCCGAUAUAUGUCACCGUUUGGAUGGGGGAUAAGGGGAGGGACAACCCUUAUCCCCCUUUAUACCCAAAUAUAAUUUUUUUACUCGAGAAUAGUAAUUCUCGGGUAUCUGAAAUAAGCUGGUAUAACUAUUCCUACCAAUAUCUUUAUUUUUUAUAUAUACAUACCCACUAUUUUUUUUAUUUUAUAUUAUUUAUUUAAAUAUUAUUUUUUUUAUUUUUAAAAAUAGCUCAAUUUUUAUCCAAAAAUUAUUUUUUUUAUCUCCAUUCUUAUACCUAUCUCCGAAAAUAUAUAGUGCCAACGCGUCACUCACAUUCUUUGAAUGUGGAUAUAAAAGUGGGAAAACAAAAAAGCGUUAGAAUGGCAAAUUCCCGUAAUUUCAACCAAUCAGCGGGGUCAAAUGUCCCGCACGCAGCUCGAAAAGUAGAGGGCCGCGGUUCCCGUGCCUUUAUUCCCCGGAAGACGAGCAGAGACCCCUCUCUCUUUGUCCCUCUUGUCCUUUCCAUCGCUCCUUUCCUCUUCCUUUCCCACCACCACCACCACCACCGCCACUCCCCCCUCCCCACUCCCACACUACUAACAAAAAAAAAAAAAAAACAAACAAACACCUCUCUCUCUCUCUCUGCUACUAUACCACGCUUGCACUUGUGUACUUUUUAUCUCACUAGAAGAAGGAAGGAGAAAGGUGGGAGAUCGAGAUGGUGGAGGGGAAAGGGUCGACGCUGGUCCACGUCCUCGUCAUCGCCCUCAGCCUCACCGCCUUCGGCUUCGCCAUCGCCGCCGAGCGCCGCCGCAGCACGGUCAGUCUCAUUUCUCUCCCUCGCCCGAAAAAUCGAUCCAUCGAUCCGGUAGAAAACGGACAGUUCACCAAUAAUAAUCCUACAGUUAAGAUCAGGUGAAUCACAUCAAAUCAACCCCCACACUUUUGCGCAUUGCAUCCAUGUGUUUUCGUAUUUUCUCAUUUUAGUAUCCAUAGUUUUAUUUUUCUCUUUUUUCACCCUCCUGUUAACUUUUCGUUAAAUUAUUAUAUAAAAAAAGCUUCAGAUACACCAUUUAUAGUUUAUCGAAUAUUAUUUCCUUUAUUACUCUUUAGUUUUUACUUUGUUACUGAUUUAACAAAAAAAAAUUAAUAAAAAAAAAAAAUCCACAUGGUACGAAAGUGAUAAACUUUAAGUCACGAGGUACUAAUGUGAGAAAAUGCGAAACCAUGUGAGAAAAUGCGAAACCGAGUGGUAUUUAGGCUGCGUUUGGUUGGAGAACUAGAUUUUGGAGAACAAUUUUUGUUGUUCCCGAGAACAGGGGAUAUUCCGGUACAAGAUAGAAUAAUUGUAAAUUUGUGUUUGGAUGAAUUCGAGAAUAUUCUAGAGGAUAUCCUUAAUAGCGUUCGGAUAAAAAGUCUAGAACAACAUCUAAAUAUAUUUUUAAAAAUAAAAUAAUUAAUUUAUAUUAGUAUAUUUUAUAUAAAAUUAUUUCAUAUAGUAAUUUAUAAUAUAAUAUUUCAUGUAACAAUUUAAUUUAAAAUAUUAUAUUUACUUUAUUAUAUAUAAUAAUUUAUUUUAUGUAAUAAUUUAUUUUAUAUAAUAUAUUCAUAAUAUAUGUAAUGAAUAAAGUAUAACUUACAAUAUCCUUAUAAUUUAAUUAAUAAUAGUAUAAAUUUCAAUACAAAUUAAAAAAUAUAUAUGAUACAUGAAAAAAUACUUUUUUAUGUAUAGUACUUAAUAUAAAAUAAAAUAAUUAAAUAUUAAAAUAUAAAUAACAAAAUUUAAUAAAAUAAAUAAUAUAUCAAAUUUAAUUAAUUUUAUAUUAUAUAAUAAAAUUUAUGUGUAAAUAUAUUAUCAUUAAAAUAAUAUUUAUAUUAAUAUAUUUAUUUAUAUAUCUAUUUAUCUAAUAAAAUAAAUAGAAGAACUAAGUUGUUCUCAAUUCCCUAGGAACAAUUUUUAACGGGUUGUUCCAGAACAACGCAGAACAACCCGUUUUGACUGGAACAACCCGUUCUCCGCUGUUCCUCUACCGUUUGGUUAUAAUUUCGGGAAUAUCCCGUGCUGUCCCGAAAUAUUUCCGGUACCAAACGCAGCCAAAGGGUUAGAGGGAGUGAGUUCUCUUUUUGCUCUCUAGGUUUUCCCUUUUCUUGUAAUAGAGAAGAGAGGUGUAGAGAAAGUUGGAGAAGGAGCUCUCUUGUUCUUCUUGCUUGAUUCAAAAGCUUCCAAGGUAGAUUGGAAGAAUUCUAAGAGGUAUUCCGAAGCGGGACCCGCGGAAUCGGAAGGUGCUUCAAAGAAGGUGUAGCAAGAAGGGAUUUCUAUUGAAAGAUUGUAAGCCCAUUAAAAUAGAAUGGUAAUCUCUAACCAAAUCUUGUAAUCUCCUCAUUUGAUAGUGGAUUUGAUCUCUCCGUGCCCGUGGAUGUAGCCUGGUUUGGGUGACCACGUAAAUCUUGUGUUGUUGUUGUGGUUGUGCUUGGAUUUUUCUUUUUCAACUUCAUUUACUCCAAUCUUGCAUAUCUUAGUUGUGGAUAAUUUAGAUACAUCACAUUUGUUUACUAGUGUGAUUAGUAUCUUGAUAGUGAAGGUUCCGUCAUUAGCUCACUAC
rnacentral:lncRNA from 1 species